rnacentral:miRNA from 1 species
UCACCGGCGCUGCACUCAAUU